rnacentral:rRNA from 1 species
AUUGAACGCUGGCGGCAGGCCUAACAUAUGCAAGUCGAACGGUAGCACAGAGAGCUUGCUCUCGGGUGACGAGUGGCGGACGGGUGAGUAAUGUCUGGGAAACUGCCCGACGGAGGGGGAUAACUACUGGAAACGGUAGCUAAUACCGCAUAACGUCGCAAGACCAAAGUGGGGGACCUUCGGGCCUCACACCAUCGGAUGUGCCCAGAUGGGAUUAGCUAGUAGGUGGGGUAAUGGCUCACCUAGGCGACGAUCCCUAGCUGGUCUGAGAGGAUGACCGGACACACUGGAACUGAGACCAGGUCCAGACUCCUACGGGGGGCAGCAGUGGGGAAUAUUGCACAAGGGGCGCAAGCCUGAUGCAGCCAUGCCGCGUGUAUGAAGGAGGCCUUCGGGUUGUAAAGUACUUUCAGCGGGGAGGAAGGCGGUGAAGUUAAUAGCUUCACCGAUUGACGUUACCCGCAGAAGAAGCACCGGCUAACUCCGUGCCAGCAGCCGCCGUAA